rnacentral:tRNA from 1 species
AUCAAAAUAAUUAAAUUAUAACUUUAAUUUCCAAAAUUAAUAUUUUCAUUAAACUAUAUUUUG